AUUGAACGCUGGCGGCAGGCCUAACACAUGCAAGUCGAGCGAGCGGCGGACGGGUGAGUAAUGUAUGGGUAUCUGCCCGAUAGAGGGGGAUAACUACUGGAAACGGUAGCUCAUACCGCAUACUGUCGGAUGAACCCAUAUGGGAUUAGCUAGUUGGUGGGGUAACGGCUCACCAAGGCAACGAUCCGUAGCUGGUUUGAGAGGACGACCAGCCACACUGGGACUGAGACACGGCCCAGACUCCUACGGGAGGCAGCAGUGGGGAAUUUUGGACAAUGGGGGAAACCCUGAUCCAGCCAUCCCGCGUGUAUGAGAAGGCCUUCGGGUUGUAAAGUACUUUUGGCAGGGAAGCGGUAUCUGCAGAAUAAGCACCGGCUAACUACGUGCCAGCAGCCGCGGUAAUAC
rnacentral:rRNA from 1 species